ACUAAUGUGGGAUAUUGUAGGCUGGUCUGUUUAAUUGAGAUUAUACAACAGUUAGGAGCGGUUGGAUGUUUAAUUCCUCUGUGAUCAGAGAAAGGGGCAUUACAUGAGUGAGAUCUUGGAUAUCCACAACCCCACUUGGACUCCUCACCACUCACAAUCACUCUGCAGUUGAUGUGUGUGUGUGUGAGUGUGUGUGUGAGACUAUAUUCAGUUCUUGCCAAUACAAGACUCCAAAAGCUCAAGUUGGGUGCAGAAUGAAAACACAUGAUAGUAUGUGCUGGCAUGUAUAAAAUGUUGAAUAUUUAAACAAGUGAUAGCGAGCUGAACCAUGAUCACAGAACAGCACAUGGUUCACUGUGGAGUUAAAUAACUGCCCCUAAUCACCACAUCAGAUGUACGCAGGUGCUGUUUACACGACAACGUUUUUUUCAAAAACUGUGUUUUUUUUUCAUCAGAUAGGCCUUUCGAACACGACGACGCCGUUUUUGCGGCUGAAAACGAUGGUUUUUGAAAACUGCUUCUAGGGUGGAGGUUUUUGAGAACCCCGUUUUCGUUUUGCCGUGUAAAGGCACAUCUGGGGUUUUUAUGACGACAUAGCCCCACCUCGAACCUCUAGUCCAGCCCCCGCGCUUGACCUCACCUGACUAGACCCUUGAAGGAACAACAAUGCUCACGGAGCCGUGUGUGUGCUGCUGCAAUUCUGCAUGAUUUCGUCGACCAGCGACAACGCAUUAACAAUAACCUGCACCAAAAUAGUCUCUAGGCUACUUUUAAAUCCACUACCUUCCCCUGCUAGAAGAGUUGAUGAACACGUAGCCGUAAUCAACUUAAUGCAGAGCCUAGCGCACACAUUUUGUUUGCCAGGAGUUAUAGCCUACUUGUGGCCGCGAUGCAAAUAACUCAAUUUAAUUCAGCACAGACAGAGCAUGUUCAACGAAUUCUCUCACAAACAGCUGGUGGAAAUCCCAACACUUUCAACGACAUGAAACUUGAUAAUCCAAACGAAACAUCUCACAAAUGCCUUGAAAUACACUGCCCCACAGACUACCCUGUGCUUUGCGUAGCCCACGUAAAUAAAAUAGCCUACCCUAAAUCAUUUGUAGUGUCUGAUACCACAAUAGCUACUGGCACGUUGGCCUCCUUUACAUUUCAGUAAAUAAUGUAGGCGAAUGUCCGUCGCCUAUAUUAACCGUGCAUGCGAAUGCAGGGUUGCUUCAGGUGUUUGGCGGCGGUCACUGUUAAAUAUUACUGUGAUUUCACAAUACCAUACAGUAUUAUUGCACAGUAAAUUACUGUACUCAAACAUUUACUGUAAAAUCACAGUAGCUCUAUCACAUUACAGCACCUUGUUGUGAAAUUUGAAUUGCACUUGAACCGCACAGCAUUGUGGGGCGAUUUCUAACGUUCACCCCUCCCACCCGCACCUGCCACCCUCAACUGAAUUUUCAACUCAGCCGUCCACCAGUGACUUCAAUUAUCACUUUUCUGCAUGUGUAAGCUGUACAAACUCUGCCAUCAUAUCCAAGACAUUGCAUUGUGAGGACUGGUGCCCUGGGAACACUGAGCGCAUUCUCGAAAAUUCCAAAUUUGUGCCACUUCCAUACGAAGACAGCCCAGAAUAAUUGGGCUCCAUCAACCAUCCCGGGUAAAGUCGGUCUGUCCUGAUUGCACUACUUGCUAAUUGAUGACGUCUAGAAGCCAUAGCUGCUUCCCUCUGCCCUCACAAAUAAACUGAUACCAGGAAUUAACAUACAGUAGAUGGUGAUGGUGGUGGUGGCAAGGGUGCCUUCACAAGGUGCCAUGUCACAAUCUCAGUGUGGAGCCAAAGGCUGCUAUUGCAAGUCAGAUGGGGGACGAUCGAUGUAAGGCAUCAGAAAGGUGGUGUACAUACAAAGGCUGGAGCUGCUGGAGACAGUGUUGCACUUAGAUACUUGAUUUACUGCCGAUGGUACCAUCAGAGCACCACCCUACCCCUGCAGGACCAGAAGAGGACGGACAGGGGGCCAACAUUUUUUAACACUCUGACCAUGGACUAUUUAAACCAUUGAGGUAACGCAGACGUCUGAUCCCACUUGGCUAAAACAGAAGACUGAGGAGGAGUUUCUUUCCUCAUGCCAUUCGCAUCCUGAGCACACAUACUGCAUUACAUGGACUUGCCAUACUGCACUUACACACUGCACUAUUUACCCCCUGACUCAUUCCGUGUCAAAUCAGACAAGGUUAUGCUGCACCGUCUCAGGCCUGUACAAUAUUUUUUUGUUCAAUCCUAUGUCUUCAUAUGAUAAUGUUUGUAUGGCCUGCUCAAUGAUUUUCAUUGAAAAGUGUUCAUUAAAAGUUCAAAUGGUA